AUCAUGACUUGAGCCGAAGGCAGAGACUUAACCUACUGAGCCACCCAGGCUCUCUGCUGGAAUUGAUUUAAAGUAAGUUGUGGAAAUGGUGACUGUGAGGAGAUGGACAUGUUAAUUAUUUUGACUAUAGUGGUCAUUUCACUGCGUAUAUAUGUGUAUGUUUAUCAAAUCAUCAUACACCUUAAAUGUGUGUAUUUUUUAUUUAAGAGUCUAGUUGUAGAGCCAUAAUUAUUUAUAUUACAGAAAAGUAUAUGCUCUUCUUGUUUCUGAAUAUGAAGUGUAAAGAAGGGUAAGUGAGCUGCUAUCUAGCUGGAAGGCCUGAGAAGGAACAUGGUCAGGCAUGGACAAUGAAAGAAGGUUAUACAAUGUCAGUGUAGGUCCUCAAACUAGCUGAGAAGAGUAACUGAUGAAACCAUAUUUUUUCCUUUCCUUGACGUUUUGAAGUACUUUAAAGAAGUAGGGAAGAGGCUUAGGUCAAGACUGAAUAGCCUGCCUGUCACCAGACUCACAAAUAUAUACACAUUUACUCUAGGUCCUAGAAUUUAGCGAGGUGACAUUUAGUAAAUCAAUCAUUGUUUUGAGACACCAAAUGGUAUCUUACAGGCUUGGGAAAGUUAAUGUUCUUUCAAAAUCACCAGGAAACUCCCAAGGAGUAUACCACUGGCAAAAUCUGACAAUAAUUUACAGCAGAGUUUAAUACAUUGUCCUUUGCAGAAACUGCUUCCUUUCCAUUUAAUACAUUUUUAAAAAUUACAGUCUAUUCUCACCACAAAAAAGAAAUAACUGAUUGAAAAUUAAGUUGUACUUGGGUAUGUGUGAGUAUCUUAAAAUCUAUGCCAUGAAAAUACUUUGAAGAAACAAAUUCAGAGUUAAUGAAGUCACCUGACCGUGAAUCUCUCUUAAUGUUGGGAGCUCACUCCCCAACAGAUGGUGCUAUCUCUCCUCUAGUUAGAGCUGCUCUGGUCUACCCUUUCUUAAAAUGUACCAUGCAUGACCUUGAAGGUGAAGGGUGAUGUGGCAAUUUGCUUAGAAUGUAUUGUAAACUUUCUUCUGUUGCCCCAAACUUCAGCUUAUAAAACAUUAUUCCAACAAUCCAGUUGAAACAUCUAUGAUUGUAUCCUCUUAGGAAGUUGAUUUCUUCCACAGUAGCUGUAGGAAAUCAUUUAAAAGGUCAUUUAUAUGAUAACAAUGGAUGGUAUUUAACUUUUUCAGAAACAUUGGCUUACAGAAAGGCCUGUCACUUACCUGCAUAUUCCCCCAAAAUGACACUCGGUCUUGAAAAUGUUAGAGGCUUUCAGUGCUAUGGAAGGACAUCAGACCACUGUAGAGCUUGGCUUCAGGUGUCCUUGGGAAAUCACAAGUGGUGGUGGUACAGCCAAAAACUGGCUGGAUGAUGGGAAUCUGGACCCUGUCCUCUGUGGUCUCCAGCUGGCGUCAGCGGUGUGUGCGUCUGUCAUCCGCCUUUGUGUCACUCCCCUGUUUUCUGGCAUUAUCUUCCAAAGAAGUCACCUGCCCUUAUGAGUCCCUGCCUCUGCUUCCAGGGGAAAUGAAACAAAGGCAUUGAAUGUACAUCCAACCAUCCUAGGAGAGAGAUCCCUUCUGUCCUCCUGUGGAAGGUUCAGACCUGGCUGCUGUCAUUCUAGGAGCUGACGAGAAUGCCUGUCUUCUUCUGUCGGAAUGGGAAGGAUUUAGCUUCCUGGAAGCACCACCAUAGAGCCAGCAUCUGGAGCACUAGCUGCUCCUUAUAUGGGCUUAUGACUCGUCUUGUCACCUCAAAGUGACAGGCCACAGACAUCAACCAGUUUGUCUGCCACGUCCUGUCUCAGUGGAAUAGAAUGAGUUUUAUGUUAUCCUUAUUGAUGCCAGUAUUUUGCAUUAAAUCAAGAGUCAAUUAAUCUUCUCCCAAUGAGUGACAUGUCAUCAGCCUUUGUGAAGACAAGAUGCAUCAGGAAUUUCAAAUGGUGAAGUCUCAUCCUUGUUGUUAGACCUGUGUUUCCAAGAAUCUUGCUGAUCAAGACACAUGCUUACCACAUGAGUCGUGUUCACCCAACUCUGCUAAUUCAGCGCAAUUUAUUUCUAACAAAUUAAUACACCAAGUAUUUUUUUCAAACAUAUAUAUCUGCAUGAUGCUUUAAUCAUUUGUAUCAUUUCUAAACAGAUGUACUAUAUAUACAUUUAUACUUGGAAAAAUUUGGUGUCUUAAGUACUUAUAAAUCUUGUAAACUUCCUCAGAACAGAUUUCUCUUUUGAUCAAUUCUAUAUUUCAUCAUAAGUUUAAAAAAAAUGUGGCAGUAUAGCAGGGGAUGGUGGCCAAUAUCUCUGGUUUGAGCAGCAGAGGCUGAAAGUGGGAUCCAUUGCUCCAAUAUUUUUACUUUGCAGACCAGCUGAUACUUCUCAGAAGGUGCUUCUGUCAGCUUUUAAGGCUUUUCCACUUCCUUGGGCUUGCUUUCUGAUCAGAGUGGUGGACUGCUGAGGCUGAUUAUCUGUUGCGCGAUUUAAUUUCCUUGAGUGCACCAAUCUCAAUACUACUGAAGCUUUACUAAUUAUUACUGUUUCAGAUACCAAGUUGACCAAAGGUGACUAACAAGCACUUGCUGAGUUUCUCUGUUGAUUUUAAAAAUAUACAGUGAAGGGGGCGCCUGGGUGGCUCAGUGGGUUAAAGCCUCUGCCUUCAGCUCA